rnacentral:lncRNA from 1 species
AUGAAGUCAGAAGACACCGCAGUCUGAAUAUUUUGGGAAACUUUCGAUUUUGUGAAGUUGAGCUCAUUUGAUCAAAUCGGAGGAUCCGAUUGAGCAAUCAGAGAUAUAUGAGAGAUUAAGCUCCAGAACACUGGCUUCCAAGGAUUCACACUUGAAAAAACCAACAGAGAUAAUGCUACUGUAAGAAGAACUGAACUACUUAAUUGGAAGAACAACUAGAGCUGCAAAGACAAUCCAGACUGAACUUGACAGACUAUUAGGCCCGACCUAACAUCAAGAGCCUGAUAUCACUAAGACACAAGCACAAUGGGAGUACCUGUAGAAGCAUAGCUUGCACUCCUACUAUAACAGUUCCCUUCUACCUAAGGCAUUGCACUUCUUAAAUUUCGCGUACAUUUGGUUUUGCCUGAGUCAGUUGUUCUGUCAAGUAUAUUGAAAAAAGUUUAUCAUAUUUUUUAUCUAAUUCAAAGUUGGAUAGUGGUAAUAAUUCU